UGGGGAAUUUUGGACAAUGGGCGAAAGCCUGAUCCAGCAAUGCCGCGUGUGUGAAGAAGGCCUUCGGGUUGUAAAGCACUUUUGUCCGGAAAGAAAUCCUUGGCUCUAAUACAGUCGGGGGAUGACGGUACCGGAAGAAUAAGCACCGGCUAACUACGUGCCAGCAGCCGCGGUAAUACGUAGGGUGCAAGCGUUAAUCGGAAUUACUGGGCGUAAAGCGUGCGCAGGCGGUUUGCUAAGACCGAUGUGAAAUCCCCGGGCUCAACCUGGGAACUGCAUUGGUGACUGGCAGGCUAGAGUAUGGCAGAGGGGGGUAGAAUUCCACGUNUAGCAGUGAAAUGCGUAGAGAUGUGGAGGAAUACCGAUGGCGAAGGCAGCCCCCUGGGCAAUACUGACGCUCAUGCACGAAAGCGUGGGGAGCAAACAGGAUUNGAUACCCUGGUAGUCACGCCCUAAACGAUGUCACUAGUUGUUGGGGAUUCAUUCCUUAGUAACGUAGCUAACGCGUGAAGUUGACCGCCUGGGGAGUACGUCGCAAGAUUAAAACUUAAAGGAAUUGACGGGGUCAUAGCUG
rnacentral:rRNA from 1 species